AGUGAACAUAUUGUUACUUUUACUGUUGGUGACGAGAACCUCACACUCAAAUGACUAGGAUCAUGAUAUUAAAAGUCUAAAAACAACGACGACAAAAGACAACCAAUCACAAAGUUGCACAAUGUUGAGGGGGGUCGUCAUCAUUAAUGGUGGUGCAGCAGUUGUAGCAGUUGUGGCAGCUGCAGCUACAGCUGUCCAACGUUAUAGAUAUCAAGUAGCAGACAGAUAUAGAAUGCGGACACGGAAAAAGGGUAUUUUUGUGAUCAUCAACAACUUUACGUUUCACGACCAGGUCCGGAAUGGUACCUGCAUUGGCACUGAAACACUGAACUCGCUUUUCACAAAUAUUGGCUUUGAUGUGCAGAUUCAUAACAAUCUCACUUCACAAGAGAUAUCGUCCACUGUGGACAGAUACGCUAGAAUGAAUCACAGUAACUACGACAUUUUCGGAAUGGCAAUUCUUACUCGUGGCGGAGAGGGUGCCAUUUGAGGAACUGACAAUCUUUUCGUGAACGUACAAGACCUUAUUAGGAUGUUCUCCCCAGACCGUUGUCCCUCGCUGUCGGAUAAGCCCAAGCUGCUUUUACUGAAAACACCUGCAAGUGAUGUGCCCAUCGCCGACUUCAUCUUGGUGACUGGAAGACCCACAGUGGGGGGCGAAGAAGUGGGAUGUCCGUUCAUCUCCGCUCUGGACAGAGUUAUCCGCCACCACGGUGCAGGCGCUGACAUGCAAGAUAUGCUGAGAAGGGUCGACAAGAGGCUUAGAAGAACCAACAAAGGGACGGUGACAUGGACCUCAACUUUAACAAAGAGACUGUUUCUGAACCCGAAUUGGUGAGCGAUGGGCGACAAUGCUGAUGUGUCCCAGUCUGAACAUAGUUAGUUCUCUGUCUCAAACUUUAAUGACUUGUUCGCGUUUGUUACGUCUCCAACUUCAACUGAUACAACGACCCGAGUUGAUUUUUGGCUCAGGUUUAAUAAGUAUGAUAUUUACUCGAGUAAGCUUAGUUCGGCAGUCAUCUGAGCUGGUUUAAGUGAAACGCCAGAUCCACAUGUGUGUCACAUCCUUCAGUUCAGUUCAGUAGUUUAAACGAACAAAUGAUACUUUGAAAUACAAUACUUUCAACAGUGGAUUUCUGAAAAAGUUGGGGAACUUAAUAAUUUGCUCUCUUUUAAAUUAUACAUUUUUUAUAUUUUCCGUUUUUCUUUUUAUUAGCGGUACAGGGAAGACAUGAUCAUGAUCAUAUUCAUAGUCAAUACCAAUAUUAUACAUUAUUUUUAGAUGGACACAGAUAAGGACGUAGAAAGAUUUUUCCAUUUUCUUAUAGUGUAUAACAGUUUACUACAUAUAUCUUACAUUAAUCUGUAAAUAGAAAAUCAAAUACAGAAAAGGCCUAAAAUACCACGAAUAAGAGAAUAUUUAAAGGAAUAAAAUAAAGACUUUCUGGUUGAGAAAUGUAUGCAUAAUUGACCAAAACGAGUAGAAACAAGUCAGGUGUCCACAUAGAGAAAUAUACACAUUUUGUAACAGUAUUGUACCUGGCGAUUUCUUUCACGAUUUGUUAAAAAGAGGGAAAGACUUCUUUCCUGCUACGUCUUAAAUUAUUUGUUGCACUUGUAAAAUCUAAAUAUUUUUAAUGUUGCAUACUUAUCCUGCAUUACACCUUCAUGUGAAAGGUCUUGCUGAAGAAGCUGUUCCUUCCAAGGCUUACCCAAGCACACAACUGCCAUGUGACCACAGAGGAGUGACGUCACUAAUCAGCACAAUACUGUUACAUCAGAGCUCUGCGACGAGUCCGAGCACAGCCCAAGAUUAACAGCUCCUUGCACUCUGCGCUCAAAUCGCACAUGGGUGAGGUCUAGAGCGUGUAGUUCGCUCACUCGUGCCGUUGUUGCCAGAGCCAAGCGAAAAGUAAGAACCAAGGGGGUCUGAACUUGGCCUUCUGGUGUUCCAGACGAAAUGAACGUAACAGCGUUUUGAAUUCCGGAAUCUUUGUCAUCUUUCAAUCAUCCGGAACUGCCAAGACGGAGCUUGGGGCCACAAGGUAGGUUGUGAUGGUGUUGCCCUUCAGAUGACGUUUGUGGCUAUCCAGGAUCCUGGUGUUUCUCCUUGCAGAACCUCUCAAAGGAGCGCAACUUCUCGUCAAACGGGCCCUUCGUGGAGUGUCUGUGCGACAAGGCGAUAGCUUUCGCUGCCCUAGCCGAGUAACCCUAGGCACUAAGAGCUCUUUGUAGAUGGGCUUCACACAUUGUACCCAUGUCGGGAAUCGAACCUGGGUCUUCGGCGUGACGAGCGAACGCUUUUAAACACUAGGCCACCCGACCGCCCCUCCAACUGCAGUGAAGGUGGAUCAGCAGGUUUGGCCAGUCUGGUCGUUCGAGGGGGGGUCGUGAAGGACAUUUCUCUGAGGUCCACGAACCAGCCUAUCGCCGGCCACCAAGGGAGGCUCUGGGUCAAUCUGAUCUUCUGAAGUACACUCCCUGGGAAGGAGCGCUGUCGGUGUAAAUGCGUACGCUUUAAGUACUUCCCAGGGGACGCUAAAGGCGUUGAUUGCCCAGGCUUGUGGGUCCGGCACCGGGGAGAUGCAACGUGGCAAAUUAUCGACAAUGAUAGCAGAGUGUAAUCAAAACGAGUUCUCACGUGAUUAUGUAUGCUAUAAUCAUUUAUCCCAGGCAUGUUGGUUUAUGACGAACAAGUUGACGCAAGCAACACGAAAAACCACCUGUACAAUAACAAUAGUAUCGCUAGGUACGACAAUGAAUUAAAGUACCAAGCAAUACAGAGAUUACAGAACGCAUGGCACGAAAAUACGUGACCACAAGGUGAAUUCAAAAUGGCAAGUUGGCACAACAAUACACCUGAUAUUUACCGAGGUAAACACCACCACCAGACGAUAAGUAUUAAUGCUAUGGCAUAAAUCAUAGGAAACAUAUGAAGUCAUAAACCGUAAGCACAAAUAACAACCACAAAGAAACAAUAGUUUGGGAAACACUCAAAGGAUUCUUUGGAUUAGAGCUGAGACCCAAAAACAGGCGACUUUUCUCCGUGGGUGACAGCAGUAAUGUGACAUCACUACUUCCGUGGUCACGUGGGAGCUGGGUGAGAGCUCGAGGGUUCGCCACUCAACCAGUUGGAACAAGUUCUUCUUCAGUAAGACGUCUCACAGCUCUUUCUCUGUCAAGAACAAGCAGUAAAUGCAUUAAGGAGUAAUGCAGGAUGUUAAAAGUUAUAACAUAAACAGCAUUGUUUUGUUUGACCUUUAUUCCUUAAUAUAAUAUUUUGCUUUGAUAGGGUCAAAUGAUUGUCUAGUGGUCUUAGUAUCAGAUCAGUUCAGAUCAGUAUCCCCAAAAAUGGUGUUUAAUAAUUUCCAGUGACUGUUUGCCAUCUUCCCGAGGCAAGGGAGUAAACUGACUGUUAAAGUGCUGUUCCCACCCUUGCCGAGCUUGGCUCUUAUUUCUAGGCCCAAUUAUAGCGCCACCAGUUAUGUCCCUUCUAUUGACUCCUUGGUCCAGCCACAAUAUUACUCCAUAAUUCCAGCCUUGUUCAGCAAGGGUGGAAACUGUACUUUUAUUGUGAGUUAACUCCCUUGCCUCGGGGAAGAUGCUGUCCACAGAAACAUCGCACAGACGAAUCUAUAUAUCUCAUCUUCUAAAAGAAAUUUCUUGUUGGUAAUACGUUUGGUAAAAGUCUGUAUUGUAACCAAAUCAAAUCUAAAAUUAACAUUUCGAUGGUAUAAUAUUGAAAAUAUCCCUAUGUGAAAUGUUUAAGGAGCAUGUCUUCAUAUCUUUUUGUGACAAGGUUAUCAAGUAAACCUUAAAUUGAAAAGAAUUUGUAAUACUUACUAGUACCUUUUCCCUCAAAACAGAUAGGUUAUAAGGAAGUAGAGGACUGGAAAGCUUUCCUAAAUAUCUAAAUUCAGCUUUUGCUUGUAAUCCACAAUAGAGACCAUGGUGUCUCUCCUCAAUAGCUUCUCCUAAUGCCUUCUUAUAUCAUAGAAUUUGUACGUUUAGAAUAUUUAUCAAUUAAUUCUUGUAACAUGUAGAAAAUAAACCCUAUAUAGAAU
rnacentral:lncRNA from 1 species